rnacentral:rRNA from 1 species
GACGAACGCUGGCGGCGUGCCUAAUACAUGCAAGUCGAACGCAGCGGCGGACGGGUGAGUAAUGCCUUGGACUCUGCCUGGUAGUGGGGGAUAACGUCCGGAAACGGGCGCUAAUACCGCAUACUAUCAGGUGUGCCUAGGUCGGAUUAGCUAGUUGGUGGGGUAAAGGCCUACAAGGGCGACGAUCCGGAACUGGGCUGAGAGGAUGAUAAGUCACACUGGAACGGCGAGACGGUCCAGACGCCUACGGGAGGCAGCAGUGGGGAAUAUGGGGAAAUGGGCGAAAGCCUGAUCCAGCCAUGCCGCGUGUGUGAAGAAGGUAUUCGGAUUGUAAAGCACUUUAAGUUGGGAGGCGUUACCAACAGAAUAAGCACCGGCUAACUUCGUGCCAGCAGCCGCGGUAAUAC